UGAGGAAUAUUGCACAAUGGAGGAAACUCUGAUGCAGCAACGCCGCGUGGAGGAUGAAGGGCUUUCAGCUUGUAAACUCCUGUAAAGAAGGAAAAAAUUCCCAUUAGAUGGGAAAUGAUGGUACUUCUAAAGUAAGCCCCGGCUAACUACGUGCCAGCAGCCGCGGUAAUACGUAGGGGGCAAGCGUUGUCCGGAUUUACUGGGUGUAAAGGGUGCUCAGGCGGAUUUGUAAGUCAGAGGUGAAAUCUCACAGCUUAACUGUGAAACUGCCUUUGAUACUGCAAGUCUAGAGUAUGGAAGAGAGUGAUGGAAUGUCUGGUGUAGCAGUGAAAUGCGUAGAUAUCAGAUAGAACACCAAUGGCGAAGGCAGUCACUUGGUCCAUUACUGACGCUAAAGCACGAAAGCGUGGGUAGCAAACA
rnacentral:rRNA from 1 species